GCAAACUUGGUCAUUUAGAGGAAGUAAAAGUCGUAACAAGGUUUCCGUAGGUGAACCUGCGGAAGGAUCAUUAUUGAUUUUUAAAGGAUGUGCUGGCUCUUCUGGAGCAUGUGCACUCCUAACAAAAAGCCAAUAUCCACCUGUGCACCUUUAGUAGGCAGGAAAAGACCUUGCCCAAGGGCUUUUUUUGUCUAUGUUUUUUAUCAUAAACCCCUUGAUCUAUUUGAAUGCUUAUACAACAAAUAAUAUUUUGUAACACAACUUUCAACAAUGGAUCUCUUGGUUCUCGCAUCGAUGAAGAACGCAGC
rnacentral:misc_RNA from 1 species